rnacentral:lncRNA from 1 species
AGGGGUGGGGUGGGGAUUCUGGCCUGGUCUGGGGACCCCGAAGGAGACUGAGGGGCCUUCAUUAGGAGAUCAGAAGUGGGCGGGUGCUUCUGGCGGGGGACGGGCACAGGCGAUGGCCUGGCCGUAGGAGAACUGCCGGGGUCCCCGUGUGGAGGGAGUGAGGGGGUUGGGGGCCACACCUCCACAUAGGUGGCGUUGUUGCAGGCCUCGGCAAAGAUGCCUGGUGAUGCAGGGGGUGCCAAGUCCCCAUCCUCCAGGCCAGGCAGGCCCCCGUCUGUCUCCAGCAGGGUCAGGAGGUACUGGGCUAGGUGGAAACAGAUGCUCUCUGGGCCGGGGUGGCAUUUGGGGACCCCCAGGCACCAUGGGGACCCAAGAACUAGCCUUCCUCCUUUUUUAUCAUCUCAACCUCCGCACCUCCAUGCUCCAACUGUCUUCCCCAGAAGGUACAGAGACCACCUAGACCCCAGGUUCUGGAUUGUCGAACUCCUAUAUAUCCUUUAAAGCCCCAGCUCCAAUGCCCGGGGCGCCCUCCCACCCAGCCCUGAUCCAAGAGUCCAGGGGGCGCCUGUGUCUGGCUCUAUUUAUAUGGUCCCCCGGCCUACAGCUGACACCUCUUUGGGUCCCCAGCCCCACCCAGGCACAGCUCAUGGGAGGGGUAACAGAUAACACCAAUAUGCAUGCCAUUCUACAAGGCCCAGGAGCCCCCAGGAGGCGCCUCCCGACCCCUGCUCACUGUUCUCCAGGCGCUGGAGGCUCUUCCGCCCCUUGGCCUUGGGCACGAGGUCUGAGUUCCGCACUGCCUGGUUGAUGAAGUGCUGUUUCCGCCUGGAAGCCGAGAGUCUCUUCACCUGGGAGCUGGCUAGGGCAGGCAGGCAGCUGGGAAGGGGCCUUAGAGUUCGCGCCUUGGCUGGGCUCCUAGUCCGGGCUGAGCGUCUACUCGCUGGUUAAGGUCGGUCCUUCCAGGUCCACAGCGGCCUCCACGCGGCC